CCGUGAAUGAAUAAAAUCCUUUAUUAUUUAACGCCAUCUAUGGGAAUUUAUGGCAACUAAACUUCACCCAAUAGAAAGAUUGUCACAACUUCUCGCUCGAGUAAAGGUAGUGGAUGAAGCACGCUUUCCAAAGUAAAUCAUUCCAUCCAAGAAAACGAGUUUGUGUGUGACGGGAUGAGGUAUGUUUCGGGUAAACGUCUUCAUGUAAAUUGAUCAGCUGUGAGACUGGAAUAAAAUCGAAAGUGUCAACAAAUAGUGAAAUUCAAAAUUGAGUGUGUAAUUUUAUCAUGUGCAAAUUUCCGCUUUGAAUACAAUGGAUACAGUGAUUUAAGAAUGAAAUUUAUUCAAAUUUAACAACAAAAACAUGAAAGGAAUAUAUUUAUCGUUUUAGAAACACGCUCAGAUGAAGGUAAUGGAAGUAGAGUUAGUAAGGCAGAGAACAAUAGUAAAGACUAAGGAAAUACAAAAAGACAAACGCAGUAACACCAUCUGGCAGAGAGAAAAAACUAAAGUCUCCACUCAGUAUGCUAGAGAUAAACUCAAAGUGCCAAUCCUAAAACCUCAGAAACAAAAGCAAAUAACAGUUACAAAAAAUGAAAAAGUGCUAACACAUAGAACACAAAUUCAGAAGAACAAUAAACUGAAGGAGAAGACAAAAUACUCGAAGGAAAAAUCAUUGGUAUUUCAAUCUUUCACACUUUACAUUAU